ACGCCGCGGGAAAAGCGGUCGUGUUAGGUGGUCAAGGUGGUUUGGAGCUGAGGUCGUCUCCUCAAGAGUAACCGCGGGCCUGUGCUACGGUCACGCCACCGGCCUUCGUUUCCUUUAGCCUUCUCUCUCACCAAACGAUUUUCCUGUCCAUUUAUAAAGUGCAAGUUGUUUCCCCAAGGUUCCAGCAUUUCUUCAUCGGUGGUUGUUCAGCAUUUAGUUGUGACCCUAGUAUUUCCAUCAGAAGAGUACACGGACCUCUCACCACCGCGGCCUCUCCCACUGCAGAGCACAGGUUCCGGACGCGCAGGCCCAGCGGCCGUGGCUCACGGGCCCAGCCACUCCGCGGCAUGUGGGAUCAUCCCGGACGGGGGCAUGAACCCGCGUCCCCUGCAUCGGCAGGCGGACUCUCAACCACUGUGCCACCAGGGAAGCCCCGUUGUUGCAAUUUUAAAAGCUGAGAUGGAGCAAUAGAGACCAGAUGUACCUUUCCCAGCUGAAACAACUAAAAAGACAAGACAAAAUGUAUUAAAGAAUGGUUCUUGAGACACUGGACACUACACAGUGAAGAACAGUGAUCCCUGAGAGAUGAGAACCAAAUAAGAUCUUGGAAUGCUCCAGUCUUUUUGCAAAGUCGAUGAGUGGCUUCAGCCCUGGGGAAGAAGCCCGAAAGGUGACCAGAUGGAACCUGCAUUCACAGUCUUCAAAGUUCCCUUUUGAAACAUAAGGAAGAGAAUGAAGGGGAGAAGGAUUUCACACUUUCGGGCUUACAAUCUGAAGGUGUCCGUUCCUACACUGGUCAGACCACUGUCCUUGGGGCAGCUGGGGUCUUUGGGACCCUCCACCGGGCUCGCCGGUCCGUCGGACUUUUGGCUGAGAUCCGUGUCAGACUCCUCCGAAUAGUCGUCUGUUGGCAUCGAGGGCUGAACCCCUGAGGUGCUGCAUGAACUUGAGAGCGCGCUCUCGCACGCCAGGCAGUGGUACGAGCCGCCGCCGCCACCGCCGCCGCCGCCGCCCGUGGGGACGUGAAGCACCAUCUCUUGCAGGUUCACCACAGACUGGCCGAAGAAGCAGAGGGACUUCAGGUGGCUCCUCGCCGCCUCCUCGUCACUGAAGCCCGCCUGGCACUUGCGGCAGACCAACUUGUACUGCACCUUUGGAACAAUGAAGGGGUCGUAGAGGGAGUCCGCACUUUUGCUUUCUGCUUCUGGCUCUUCGGGGGGUUUCGGCAGGAGGGGGGACACCUCACGGGGUGCGUUUUUCUGCUCUUCUGGUCUGGGGGAUUCUUUGGCAGGGUCUUUGUCUGGGGAAGCAGCCCCCUGGGGGACUGGGGUUUGGCUUGCUUUGGGCUGCUGCUGCACUUUUUGCUGCUGCUGCUGCAGCUGCCGCUGCUGCUGGAUGGCCUCCUGCAGACUCUGCUGGUAUUGCUGGUACUGCUGCAGCAGGGAGCCCGGGGACAGCCCCAUCAGGGCCUGCGACAGCGCAGGGCUGUAGGGGAACAGGCCUUCCAUGCCGUACAUAGGCUGCAGGUACCCGCUCUGCAGGGCGCCGGGGAUCUGGGGGGCGUAAUAAGGAGAGAAGCCUGGUACAAAGUAAGGGAGGAACUGGCUCGUGAGCAACGCUGUGGGGUCCGAAGUCAAGGCUGCCUGCAGGGCCUGCAGCUGCGCAGGGUCCACUGCAUACUCCAUGGCGGGCAGCGGUGCUGAGAUCGUGGCUGCGGCUGCCGUGGGGGCCUCUCCUUUCUCUUUCUUGGGGACGGGCAGGGGUUCCCCUUUCCCUUUGUGUGCCUUUUCCUUCUCCUUUCCCUUCUCACCAUCUCUGUCCUUGCGUUGCUGUUGCUGCUGCUGCGGCGGGAGCUGCGGCGCGGGUGGCGGCUGGGCUGCUGGCGGCGGCGGCGGCUGCGGUUGGGGACUUGGCAGAGGGGCCGUCGCCGCGGGGGCCUGUGCUGGCGUGGGGGAGCUCAGCGACGCCGAGGGUGGUUUAUUUGGUAAUCCAGACGUGGGGAGGCCGGGGGAAGGAACUGUUGUGCUGGGCAGACCCAUCAAGUUCGGUUUAGGAGAUGUUAAAGCUGAAAGGAGUGGAGACAGAGAAAUCACGUGUCAGUCUGGGGUGCUGAGGCUAGUGCUAAAGAUGUUUCACCUGUGUCACUGGCACAGGGUCUAAGAGCUCAAGGUUUGAACUUGGAGGAUCCUGUUGAUCCAACGGCUUUCCCGCCAGGCCCAGGUUGGAUAGCCUGUAUUCUAAUCCGGACCCAGCCCUGGGUCAGCUCCCAUACCAGGUAAACAACUUCCAACACCUUCCUGCCCAACGUGCCACACCCAUCCCACUCGGUCAUGUUUUCUCUGCUGCGCUCCCAACUCUGCCCAAGGCAAUUAGUCUGGAGGCCCCCAGACAAGCUGCUGCCAGCCGGGACCCAUCGGAACCGAUGGCCUUCAUCAAAAGCCCCACAGAAAUAGUACAGUCAAGAGGCCCCACCAGAAGCUGUCUGCGGAAGACAGCAAAAGCAAGAAACCCGGCCAGACACCAAGACCACCUGAACAAACACAACAGGCUCUACACAUGUGCCUCUCUGACCUCCACUGCUGCAGGUGAAUGGAUGUGUUUAGGAGGGCACAGAGAGGAGGAGCAAUGGGAAGAAAUGGAAACAAUCCAUUCAAGGUAAACAGUGGCACUGCUUUGGCUCAGCUGAUCUGCUUUAACAAAUCUGCUGAAAAAUGUAACCACCUAGGAAUAGGAUUCUGUAGUCCACCGGAAAAAUGAGCAUUUUCUUCUCCUGCCCCUAUCUGAAUGACAUACGGGAGGAUUAGGACUGCAGAUGCUUGAGAAAGCAGCCAUAGGAAGAGGAGAAGAGCAAUGUCAAAGUGCUGGCACCAGCAAUUCCUAAGACAUCACAACCUACCCCAGGCACCACUGCUUACGGGUGGCAGACCAUGUCACCAGGCGCACGCAGGACACAGCCCCAUCCUCAAUCACACUCAGGCCUAAUCUACCACUACCUGUAAAGCCUUCACCCAGCCCCAGAGCCUGACCUCCUCCCUGACCCAUAUCUCCUGGGUUAAAGCUUUUGUUUCAGGGUGAUGGAGGGCUUCUGCUGGUUCAUGAAGACUAGCAAGGUGGCGGUGAAGGACAGCACUGACCACAUCCAAGACACUAGACGGUAUGCGUCCCUCCUCUUCAGAGGACACCAAAAUGUACUACUUUAUCUGGACCACCUUCAGCAAGAAAGCUGGGGUGGGGUUCCAAACAAGUCACUGUCUUCAUGAGAAAAAACACUCUGAAGCCCAAGCCAGGUGAAGACAAUGUUGAUUUCUAGCUCCAGUGGUGCAGUAUUCCCUGGGCUAUCACGCUGCACUAAAAAAAAAAAAAACUCAGAUUUCGGGUGAAGAGAACAAGGUUGCCUCAAGUUGCCAGUCCCAGCAAAAACAGGCAUUAACUUUUGGAUAGCCAAGGAGGAUGCCUCCCUCAGCAUCACAUAAUAUCAUUAAUUGACUCUUCCAAAAUGGCAGAAAGGGACCACUGAAAUUAAGUCAUCCAAUUUCCUGAAUGUACUUACGGGACUGAAAUCAGAGGAGAAGAUGUGUCUGACUUAGAAAAACUCAGUAAAGGCUUGUUGGUUAAAGUGGCACAAAGCAGAUUAUGAAUUCCAACUCGGGACAUGGCUUUGUCUAUUUCUAGGCAACAGGCUUGCUCCAAGCGUUAGGCUGGAGCUGUAGGCAGAGCCCAAUGACCAGUGGGGCAGAGAAGGAAGCGCCUGUUGAUCUCCCCAUCCCUCUGGCAUCAGGCUUCCAGAGGAGAACUGACUUCCUCUACCUUGAACUGACAGUGCACAAGAGAGCUUCAAUUUUAAGAAACAUGUACUGAACUUCUGCUAUUUACCAGGCUCUGCACUAGCCAUGUGAGAUAAAGUAGCUCAAUACAUUCUCACAAUAAUUCCGUGGCUUUGGUUUUCUUAUCUGUAAGAUCAGAACCAAAGAGGCCACUUCAUCCCCCUGAGGCUGAGUCACGUACUCCUGGAGUCGGACUGACGAGGUAUGGACUGUGGCUGACACACAUCUGCCGUGUGAUAUCGGGCCUAUUAGUUGACUGCUUGGAACCGCAGCUUUCCACAACAGAUGGAUGUAGGGUUUAAAUGGAAGCUCAUAUGGAAAGAGCUUACCAUCGGGCCUGACGUAUUAAACACACGUUCUUUCUUUCUUUCCUAAUUCCAGAUGCAGUGCUCCUGGGAGCUGCGGUACAGUCAGACGGUGGUAACUGGGGCGGGCCUGGCUGCUAUGAAUGAUUAAGAGCUGAUCUGUCUUCCUACCUGGAGUCCACUCUAAGUGCUCAGAACCUGAGUAGCACUAAACAUAUACCUGUUGACUGACUGGCUCGUAUUGGGUGCUGUGGGAGGAGUACAUAGCACUGGGAGCCCGGCUCCUACCCUAGCUUGUUGAAUGGUCUUGACCUCUCUGGGCCUCAGUUUUCUCAUCUGUAAAACAAGGGGAAUAGAUCAGACAUUUUGAUUCUAAUAUUUUCACAUUAUUAUGAAAUGUUGGGCUUUCCCAAGCCCCUCUUCCAAGGUCCUGGGCUGCAAGUGAAGUUCAGUGCCCAGCCACUUUCCAUAGUCUCUUUCUUGGCUUAUGUCUAGCUGACUUUAACAUCAUUCUGUGACAUUACUUGCCAACACAUGUAAGCAACGACUUCUACAUCUUAAUGCUUUCUUUUCUUGUUCUUCUCUUUGGAUAAGAAACUGGGAUCUGGAAUGAGGUAGCCCUCACGUUCUGUAGAACACUGCUAAAAUUAUAAAACUUGGAUUUAAUUCAACCAGAAACCAGGGCUGCUCUGGGAAGCAGCAGAACCACUUCCACCCCGGGAAGAGGGCCAUGUUUUGAAGGAUCCUGGAGGUGAAAGUCCAAUUUAGGGAAGACAGCUGGAUUCAGAGAAGACGGGUGAGGGCAGAGGAGGAGGAACAAGAGAGGUACACAGAAAGAACUGCGGCACUCCCUACGAAGUGGAAAAAUAACUACCAAAUAUCGAGAUGGGAUCUGCAUUUCCCCACAAGGACUGAAUGGAAGGGUCUAUAAUGGAAACUGCUGUCUUGAAAAUACCCCAGGAUCUAGUACGCCAGAACCCUGAAGUUGACGCCUAUCACACACACCCUGGUGGUGGUACCGAACACCAGGCACGAGAAUGGUUUCAGGAGACUGUUCCAACCACAAGAUCCCCAUCCUUGAACAGGCAAGUCAAAGAGUCGUGUACACUCCAGCUCUAGGGAGACUCAGUGGAAGGGACCUGAGGUUUUAUUGCUGUUAGAGAACUUGAAAAGGGAAGCUUCCUAUCAGGCCAGCACUCAGAGGUUUUGUGUGAUAGCCAUAGAAGAAGCGCUAAUUGGGCGGCUAUUUAAUACUGGGAGAAUCACCAAGAGCAGAACCCACCUGUGUUGGAUGGAGUAAAGCCUGGCAAGGAGGGGCUGUUGAGGCCGGGGAGCAACACGGGAGGAAUGCCCUGGAUUGCCGGAUAUGCCGUAGGAAGGUUGAGAGCCUGAAGAGGGGCGUUGUCAAACAUCCCUUGCUGCUGAGCUGCCAGUCCGAGGACCUCAUUGGCCUUUUUAAUCCGGUCCAACUCUUGUUGAGCCAUCAACUGACGUACAGUGGCUGGGUCAAAGUAUUCUUUCUCCUUGUCCAGCUGGCUUCCAAUGGUGUCUUUAACUUUGGAGAUAUGCUGUUGGGAAAAGAUAUGGUCACGUACAGACAGCCGAGCGCUGUACUUGAUGCCACACAAAGUGCACUCUGUUUUGGGUCCCUCGUAACUUGUUUGGUUUAUACCAAAAUGCUUGGCCAUGCUUAACUUGGACUUCUUUUCUUUUGCCCGGGCAUUCUGGAACCAGACCUGAACCACUCUCUUUGGCAGUCCAAUGUCAUUGCCCAGGACUUCACACUCUAGCAUGGUGGGUGUCCUGUAGUCAUUAAAGCAUGACUUGAGGACCUUCAGCUGCAGAUUGGUCAUCUGAGUGCGAAAACGUUUCUGCCCGGGCCUAUCCCCACUGUCUCCAGAUUUGCCUGCUGACCCACUUGCACCAGGGCUUGGGGAGCAGGGGUCUGCAAGGCUCGAGGUUUCACUGUAGUCCACUGUACCUUCAUUGUCAUACUCCUUGCUGUAAAAGCUCGGGGCUGGGCUGACCAGACCGGAUGACAACCGAUCUUCAUACUCGGACAUUGCCAUCAUGGCCGCUUUGGUCAACCCUUCACUGGGCGCGGAAGAGGAUUUGGUUUCAGUUGCUAUUCCCGUCGCACUGUCGUUAUCCGCAUUGCCCUCGUCUCCAGUAGUGGUAUCUGUGAUCGCUGUGUUGACUGAGGAACAGUCGUCGUUGUCCAGCUUAGUUUGGUCAAAGUUUAGAUUAACUGAAGACAUGGAAGGGCUUUCAAAGUCUUCAAUCCCUUCCACCUUGAUGGAAGAAGGGCUAAGAAGAGUUCUAGGAGACAACUCCAUGGUUUUGCUCACAGGGCUGGCACUGGCCUUUUCCUCCAGCUUCCUCUUGAGAGUGUUCAUCGUGGAGGUGGGAGUUGAAGGGGAAGUGGCCGAGCUUGCCGGAAUCUGAGGACCGUGACACUGCCUUGUCAAUGCCCUCAACCUGCCUCCUACCCCCGCUCUUCAGAAUGAUUUUCAACCGUGCAGUUGCUCAGCAGUGUGGAUGAACGAGCGCGGAGGCUGAGACCGCCCGACUCAUCCACUCCCUGGAAAGCAAACCCGGUGUAACCCAGUGCAGCAUUAGCGUCCUCACAGGACCGGAGUCCACCCUCGUCCUUCAAGGCUGAACGCAUGAUGAAUGGUGACGAGGUUGCAGAGUAUUUUGCACAGUUUAACCUCACAGCAAACUGGAAUGUUCUGGAAAGAAGAGGCGAGCAAAAUAGAAGGUCCUUGAAACCAAGAAGGGUGGUUCCCCACUCCCUCACAUCCGUUAAAAACAAAGUCAUGGAGAAAAGUACUGAUUCUAACUCAGUGUGCUACUGAGAGAGAAUGGAAGACGGCAGAGAGUAAAUGGUGACGUCUUAACGGCAGAAUAUUUGAUGGGCAAAGGUGAAAAAGCCAGGGCAAGCAGAAGGAGGGUCUUGAUGGAGGAAGAAUGGCCUCUUAAGUUUGCUUAUCAGAAUAAACCGCUUUGUGGAUUUGAA